rnacentral:rRNA from 1 species
GGAGUUAGCCGGUGCUUCUUCUGUGAGUGAUGUCCUUCCUGCCGGCUAUUAACCCGCAGGCCUUCUUCCUCACUGAAAGUGCUUUACAACCCGAAGGCCUUCUUCACACACGCGGCAUGGCUGGAUCAGGGUUGCCCCCAUUGUCCAAUAUUCCCCACUGCUGCCUCCCGUAGGAGUCUGGGCCGUGUCUCAGUCCCAGUGUGGCUGAUCAUCCUCUCAGACCAGCUACGGAUCGUCGCCUUGGUGAGCCGUUACCUCACCAACCAGCUAAUCCGACAUAGGCUCAUCCGAUAGCGCGAGGCCCGAAGGUCCCCCGCUUUCCCCCGUAGGGCGUAUGCGGUAUUAGCCUGGGUUUCCCCCAGGUUAUCCCCCACUACCGGGCAGAUUCCUAUGCAUUACUCACCCGUCCGCCGCUCGCCACCAGGGAGCAAGCUACCCGUGCUGCCGCUCGACUUGCAUGUGUUAGGCCUGCCGCCAGCGUUCAAUCUGAGCCAGGAUCAAACUCUGA